rnacentral:tRNA from 1 species
GCCCCAGUGGCCUACUGGACAUGGCACUAACUUCCAAAACCAAGGGGUGUGGAUUCAAGUCCCACCUGGGGUA